GGUGUCUUGGCUAAGGUGUCUUGGCUAAGGUGUCUUGGCUAUGGUGUCUUGGCUAUGGUGUCUUGGCUAAGGUGUCUUGGCUAAGGUGUCUUGGCUAAGGUGUCUUGGCUAAGGUGUCUUGGCUAAUGUGUCUCGGCUAAUGUGUCUUGGCUAAUGUGUCUUGGCUAAGGUGUCUUGGCUAAGGUGUUUUGGCUAAGGUGUCUUGGCUAAGGUGUCUUGGCUAAUGUGUCUUGGCUAAGGUGUCUUGGCUAAGGUGUCUUGGCUAAGGUGUCUUGGCUAAGGUGUCUUGGCUAAUGUGUCUUGGCUAAGGUGUCUUGGCUAAUGUGUCUCGGCUAAGGUGUCUUGGCUAAGGUGUCUUGGCUAAGGUGUCUUGGCUAAUGUGUCUUGGCUAAGGUGUCUUGGCUAAGGUGUCUUGGCUAAGGUGUCUUGGCUAAGGUGUCUUGGCUAAUGUGUCUCGGCUAAGGUGUCUUGGCUAAGGUGUCUUGGCUAAUGUGUCUUGGCUAAGGUGUCUUGGCUAAGGUGUCUUGGCUAAGGUGUCUUGGCUAAUGUGUCUCGGCUAAGGUGUCUGGGCUAAGGUGUCUUGGCUAAGGUGUCUUGGCUAAGGUGUCUUGGCUAAGGUGUCUUGGCUAAGGUGUCUUGGCUAAGGUGUCUUGGCUAAGGUGUCUUGGCUAAGGUGUCUUGGCUAAUGUGUCUCGGCUAAGGUGUCUGGGCUAAGGUGUCUUGGCUAAGGUGUCUUGGCUAAGGUGUCUUGGCUAAGGUGUCUUGGCUAAGGUGUCUUGGCUAAGGUGUCUUGGCUAAGGUGUCUUGGCUAAGGUGUCUUGGCUAAUGUGUCUUGGCUAAGGUGUCUUGGCUAAGGUGUCUUGGCUAAUGUGUCUUGGCUAAGGUGUCUUGGCUAAGGUGUCUUGGCUAAGGUGUCUUGGCUAAGGUGUCUUGGCUAAUGUGUCUCAGCUAAGGUGUCUUGGCUAAGGUGUCUUGGCUAAGGUGUCUUGGCUAAGGUGUCUUGGCUAAGGUGUCUUGGCUAAUGUGUCUCGGCUAAGGUGUCUGGGCUAAGGUGUCUUGGCUAAGGUGUCUUGGCUAAGGUGUCUUGGCUAAGGUGUCUUGGCUAAGGUGUCUUGGCUAAGGUGUCUUGGCUAAGGUGUCUUGGCUAAUGUGUCUUGGCUAAGGUGUCUUGGCUAAGGUGUCUUGGCUAAGGUGUCUUGGCUAAUGUGUCUUGGCUAAGGUGUCUUGGCUAAGGUGUCUUGGCUAAGGUGUCUUGGCUAAUGUGU